rnacentral:rRNA from 1 species
GAUGAACGCUGGCGGCGUGCCUAAUACAUGCAAGUCGAGCGAACGGACGAUAAGCUUUCUCCUCUAACGUUAGCGGCGGACGGGUGAGUAACACGUAGAUAACCUACCUCUAAGACUGGGAUAACUUCGGGAAACCGCAGCUACUACCGCAUCAUAUAUUGAACCGCAUGGUUCAAGAGUUAAAGACGGUUUUGCUGUCACUUAUAGAUGGUUCCGGGGCGGCUUAGGUAGUUGGUAAGGGAACGGCUUACCAAGGCUACGAUGCCUAGCCGAACUGAGAGGGUGGUCCGCCACACUGGAACUGAGACAAGGUCCCGACUCCUAAGGGAGGGAGCAGGUGGGAAUAUUGCCGAAUUGGCGAAAGCCUGACGGAGCAACGCCGCGUGAGUGAAGAAGGUCUUCGGAUCGUAAAACUCUGUUAUUAGGAAAGAACAGAUGUGUAAGUAACUAUGCACGUCUUGACGGUACCUAAUCAGAAAGCAACGGCUAACUACGUG